rnacentral:rRNA from 1 species
UACGUAGGGUGCAAGCGUUAAUCGGAAUUACUGGGCGUAAAGCGUGCGCAGGCGGCUUUGCAAGACAGAUGUGAAAUCCCCGGGCUUAACCUGGGAACUGCAUUUGUGACUGCAUGGCUGGAGUGCGGCAGAGGGGGAUGGAAUUCCGCGUGUAGCAGUGAAAUGCGUAGAUAUGCGGAGGAACACCGAUGGCGAAGGCAAUCCCCUGGGCCUGCACUGACGCUCAUGCACGAAAAGCGUGGGG